CCCUUUUGUAAUUAAGGCAUUCUACGUGCGACUUAAAUAAUUUAAAUGAUAACAAAAGAGCGGUUGCUCUCUGAUCUAAUUGCAGACACAAUCUGCAGAACCGUCUUCUAUGGGAUUUGAACUUGUGAAGUGUGAGGUGGAGACCUGAAUGUAACAAAUUGGUGUUAAGUGAAUAAUUCCAAACAUAUAAAAUUUAGAUCAUCACACCGAACGCAAACAGAACAAUUAAAUAAACAACUGAAGGCAUACGCAAUCUAAUUAGACAAAUAAGUGAACUUUCCCAUGCCGAAAUCUGAAAGGCCAACAGAAAUAUCUCAUUACAGCACAGAAGACAAAACUUAGGACAAAACUUAAAACUAAUCAAACUUAGGUGAACCAAUUAUAGAGAACAUAACCCUUGUAACCAAUCGGGAAAAGAUGCUUUUAAAUCCCAGAAAAAAAAAUUAAGAGGAGUUUUUUAAAAAACCAUCAUUUCAAUUAUUUUCCAGUCUUACAUUUGGAUUAAACAGAAAAUAUAAGUAAAAAUGCCAACUUUCUAAAAAAACUACAACUAUUUUUACAAAUUUCCAUUACCCAAUGCUGAAAAAUGAGAAUCACGAAGCAAUGAAGAACGGAACACGCGAGAACCAAAAAGUUAAAAACAACACGUAACCAUUUCAAAGACCCAAAAUCCUGCAAGGACAAAAAAAUCCCAUAAAAUCAGUACAUCAGCACUCCCUGCAAAACCCCAAAAUCAGAAAAUUAUAAAAAGAACCCAAAAUCAGUGGCAUGGUCCUCGUUUCUCCAUCAUUCAGUAGCUAAUGACCUAAUGGAAAAGAACCCAAAACAUACAGCUUAAAAUAUGGAAAGUGCUUAUAAAAGCUCAUGAAUAACGUUCAAAGCCUGCAUAGAAAUGGUAUAGCGCAGAUAACAACAAACAAUAAAACUAUGCACAGUAUAACCUAAAUCCGAUAUGUUGCAUUCCCCACACACAGAUUGUUCAAAAUUAAUUUCGUCUCCGUCUUUUUUCAAAUCUGAUAAAAUCCCCAAAACACAAAAAAUAGCAGCUAACUAUUUUUUGAACUCUGUAAACAACGAUAUGCAUCUUAACCCAUUUAACAUAUUCAUAAAAUAACAUCAAACACAUUUAUGCAUGAGAUAAUAUAGAAGUGAAGUCUCACAACUUUCAUAAAAAAUUAUUACUUUGUUAGAGAAAGGCUUGAAAAAAUAUGUAAAUUACUCACCUCUAUUACAAAAAUGUUACAACAGUAGACAAAAAAGGCCAAAAAUACCAAAAGCCGCACCUCCUGAAAUAAAAAACAUAACCAAACGACACAUUCUCAGUAUCUAAACGAUAUCCAGAAAAAAAGAAAUGAACAGACGAAACCCAUGUAAAUAUACAGAACAAACCAAAAAAAAAAAAAAGAACUGAAGCCAGUAAGAAGAUCACAAAUCUGAUAAAGCAAAAGGUAACAUAAUCUAUAUCGAUUUAAUUAUCCAUCCAAAAAGACAUUUGAAUGAAGAACAUUUUUAAGGAUCCAAACAACCAUUAAACUAAACAAUUAAAAGUAAAAACAGCAAAGCAUUCAUUGAAGAAAUAUAUAUAUAUAUAUAUAUUAUAACGUAUUUUGUUCUUUAUACCUAAAAGAAAAACAUUGGCUUUCUUGUAUGCACUGAAGUAUGCAUGUGUCGGAAAUUUACAAUCUAUAGAGACUCAAUCUCAGACUCAAAAAGACAUCUAAAGGAAAAGUAAUAAGAAAAAUAAGUAGUGGUUUUACCUAUACUCCAUGUGUGGACUCCAAUUUUCAAUCACAAUUCAAAAUUCAAGAGGCCUAUAAAUCAACCACAUAGGAAAUGAUCAGUGGAAGAAAAAGAAAAACAACUGAAGCCAAAAUAGCAUCUAACAAAUCAUUUAGAACCAUCACAGAAAACAAUUUUUGCAUAUAAGUAAUUUAAAGGAAUACCAUCAGGUCAUGCAUAUAUACAACGUACCCAAUUAGAUAAGUAGCACAUCAACAAUUGAUGAUCAAAAAGUUAGUCAGCCUCAAUUGCUUGAAUCUAAUUAACUCAAAGAUAAUAAACAGUCCAUUUAAUGCACGGGCUGACUAUCAAUUUUAUAAAGCUAUAAUUCUGUGCAGUUCAAAAACCAAGUGGAAGAAUAGGCAAAAACUAUCUCAUCGCCUGUAAAUGUAAUUAACUAAAUAUUAAACUUCACAGCCACAAAUAAACCUAAAUUCCUCCUAAAACUAUCUCAUUUAAGCUUGAUUUUACUAUAAUCUAUAAGUGUGGUAAAAAAUGGGAGGCCAAACGAUUUGUUAACAAAAAAGGUAGACAUAAAAGUAAAAGGAACAGGGCAGACAUUAGUUGAGGAGAAGCUAAUGUCACCUUGAAUUGACGACAAACAGUUCUUAUCUUCUCGAAUUAACGAAGAUAAGUACCAUUUUUCUUUAAUUCAAGGUAAUAUAAAAAGAAAUUAUACCUGUACAGUGUUCAGAUGUAGCAAUCCUAUGCAAUCGGCCAAAUGAUGUGUGUCCUCUCAAAGAUCUGUAUAUCCAUUACAGACUAAUCUUCAGUCUUGCAGAAAAUGAUAUGUUGACUACAAUUUCCCAUACUACUAAAAAACACAAAUAAUUCUAUCUACAAACCAAAUAAUAUGUGCAACUUUAUGCUACAAUGGUAGAAUAAGAUGGUUGUACAGGACGACACAAAGAUUGAGACUUUUUUUUACUUCUAAAAUUCUACACACUUUCGAGCCCUAAAUUUUCCCGGAAACAAAAAAAAGUGAAAGAAGUCGUACCUGGUUUGAGAGAGUGGGACACCAUCGGCGAGUUUGGUGUAGCAGUGAUGGCGGAGAUCUCUGGUGAGAAAGCUAAUAAGAUGGACAAAAUCAUUGAACAAAAAAAACCUCGCUUUUUAAAAUUAAAGUCAACAAAAAUUUGAACAAAGAAAAGAGAACUCAAACCCGAAACAAAUAAGUCGGAGAACUCGCCAGGAAACCCAAAGUUUCUGCAGGAUUGGCGAUUUCCUGAAAACCAAGCUUUUGUAGGUUUAAAAUUUCUUCCCUAAGGCAACAGAUCCAACAUUCCCAACUUUAGCUAUUUCAGCUACAUAAUAGAAAGAAAAAAAAAUUUAUAUAAUUAACUAAUCUGAUUUAAGAUUAAUCGAAAAGCUUGGAAAUUUCAGCUUUAAAAUUACAUGUCAGGCUGCAAAUCUAAUAAAAAGCGUAGAAUUUUAAAAAUGCUGACCUUAAAUACAGAGGCCUUCGCAGGCUGCAAAGAAGCGUUAGAAACCCGAAAAACCGGAUCUCCUGAAACCAAAAACAAAACCAAAUUAACCAUCAUCACCCAUAAUUCGAAGCCACAAACAUAAUCCCCAAAAUUACAACCCAAAAAUUUAAACAAAAAAACCCAUUUAUAAAUCCAAAUUUACACUCCCAAGUGCAAGACUCUAAGCUCCAACUGUUCUUUCUCAACUUUAGCUAUUUCAGCAACAUAACAUAAAUAAAAAGGUCGUACCCAGUGCACAAGGCUCCCGCUUUACGCAGGGUCUGGGAGAGGUGAAUGUCGGCUAGCCUUACCCCCAUUUUAUGGAGAGGCUGCUCCCAAGUCUCGAACCCGAGACCUACCGCUCAUGGGCGAAGACACUUGCCAUCGCACCAAGUGCGACCUCUAGCAACAUAACAUAAAUAAAAAGAUCGUACCCAGUGCACAAGGCUCCCGCUUUACGCAGGGUCUGGGAGAGGUGAACGUCGGCUAGCCUUACCCCCAUUUUAUGAAGAGGCUGGAACAUAACAUAAAUAAAUAAACAAAAUUAAUUUAACUAUAAUUAACUAAUAUGAUUUAAGAUUAAUCAAAAAACUUGGAAAUCUGCUUGAAUCCAAUCUCAAAAUUGAAAACGAACACUUCACUUUUACAAAAGUUGUACAAAGCAAAAAAAAAAAAACAGACAAAUCAAAGUCUCACAAAGGGCCACAACGACAGCAAAAUUGCAACAGAAAGAGGAAAAAUGUUCAAUCAAACCAUUGGAUAACUCUUCUAAGGCAGCCAAAAAAAAACCCACAAAUUCAAAACCACAAAAAUCCAAUCUAAAACAUCGAUUCACAGACUGAGAUGCACAAAAUGAUAUAUUAACAAAUCCAAAACGAAAUACAAAAAUUAAGAACCAACAAGCAAAAAAAUACUGAUUAUCCCCUGCAUACGUGAGCACACGUUCAAAAAGCCUCUCAAAGGCUGAGAUUCAACUUUCAAACAUAAAGACUUUAAGCCACAAUUGUUCUUUCUUAACUUUAGCUACUUCAGUUACAUAAUCGGAAAAAAAAAAUUAUUUAAUUAUAGUUAACUAAUCUGGGUUAAGAUUAAUAAAAAAGCUUGGAAAUUUCAGAUCUAAAAUCACACCUCAGGCUGCAAGUAGAAUCAAAACCAUGGAAUUUCAAAAUCACUGACCUUAAACACACAGGUCUUCGCAGGCUUCAAAGAAAAGUCACAAACUCGAAAAACCCAAUCUCCUGAAAUCGAAAACAAAACCAAAUUAACCAUCAUCACCUAGAAUCCGAAGCUACAAAACAAAAUUCCCAAAAUCAAAACCAAAAAAUUUGAACAAAAAACUCAUUUAAUAUCCAAAUUUACACUCCCAAGCACAUAACAUUCAAAGCAGACAAUUACCCAAAUCAAAUCGACAGCAGGAGAUGCAAUCUUUUAUGGGCUUCAAAUUUUCUUCAAACCGAGACCAAAUUCGCUAGUUUUCAGCAAGAGAGCGUUGCCGUUUGUAACCCCCGAUGAAAAGAUCCAAACAAAUUUGACUAACAGUAGACAGAGAGAGAGAGAGAUAGAGAGAGAGAGGUGAAAAUUACUCGCUGGUGACGAAGCUAAUGAAUUCGGAGACGCAUUCCUGGACGGUGUUCGACUGAUCGGCACGAGUAGAGACACCAGAUCAGAAAGACAGAAAAAUUAGGGUUUGGGAGAUAAAGAAACUGGGGCAGAGAGAGAGGGAAAGAGAAGCAGAAAAGAGGAUAAUUUUAUGCAUUUUUUUUAGCCGCUUUGAAUUUUUUUUGGCCGACAGGCAUUUGCGUCCGAUUAUUUUUGUCGAAGCCGGUGACACCAAAACCGGCCUCCGGCUUUCGGACCAGGAUUGUCUGCCCCUUCAUUUUCCCUGCCAUGU
rnacentral:lncRNA from 1 species